rnacentral:lncRNA from 1 species
ACGAAGGGGGUAAGAUAAGUGGCCGACGCAAGCAGUCCAGGGCUAUCCCAGAUAAGGGCGGAUGACAGGCAAACUAUACAGCAGACAACGAACAAGCUAAUCUCAAGCUUCGAGCGAUCGUAAUGUCGCAGUCUGCAGCUACGCCCUAGAUCGUAUUAACUAGCUCUCAAACACAGCCCAGCUACAUAUGCCCACGGCACCAAGCCGUGCUCACCGUUGGCGACGAUGUAGUCGACCUGGGCGGCGAUCUGCUCGUCGGUCAGAGGAGGCAGGUAGGAGAAGGUCUCGAACAUCCUGCGAUCACGCGAUUGACCAGUACUCGUUAGAAGUGGCAGAGCACGUGCGAUGUGAGGCAGCAGGCUGGGCCCCAAGCAAUUGCGUCGCGACUUGCAGAAUCCCUAUCCUUCGGGCUGCGCUUGCUCGUCGACUCACUUGUUGUUGACCGGGGUCCAGACCAUCAUCUGGUUGGCCUGAGCCGGGGCAGCCACGGGGGCAGCCUUGACGGCGGGCUUCAGCGCGGCCAUGGGGCGCACGCUGGAGCGGGCCGGGCGAGCCACGGCCGCGGAGACGGAGGACUUGGCAAUGACGGCGGCCAUUUUAGAUGUUUGAGAAAGUGGUCGAAUGAACGAGUAAGUUCUUGGGACAAAGACUCGGAGGUGGCCGGUCGCCGUUUUCAAUCCCCGCUCGCCGAUGACCCGUACGGCAGGCUUAUCCGACUCGUCGGCUUUCACGACCGCCCGAGCCUGCGCGCUUCAUCCGCUUCCGGAUAGCUUGCUACGAUAAUGCAUUAUUCAAUUUUACGACGCAAUGUCAUGAGCAGCGCCGGGCGGGCUUAUUUACAUGCGUCGCCUCGCUCGCCGUUGACUUGAUACUUUGGAAAUUCGGGCUCGAUUCGUUGCUACAGCCUGCCUUUUGCACACAAUGUGAACGUCGAUUCUACAUUUGUAUGUGACUGAACUUCGCGGCCCCUACUGAACGUUUCGUGCAAGCGACAUGUCGACUCACAACUUGGAGGAACGCGCGAGGGGUCCCCACACGCACUUUCAGCCUGCUUUGGCGAAAUGGACAUGAUAGGUAUAGCCAGGAUAUGGGUCUGCUAGCUCGCCUGGUGUUUUGACCGUCGAUCGGUUUCGCGUUGGGCCUUGCGGCUGCUCGCUCGCCGCGGAUGCUUCCGCACACUGCGCGGCACGUGUUAGUCUGUGCACGACGACGGUUUGUUUGUAUUGCGCCGCCAACGUUCAACGGUGGUGGUAGGUUCGAAUGUCAGAAUGUCGGGCACGGGGACCUUGGGCGCAUUGCCUACAAGCGCGUGCCUGUGUUUUUGGGGGGCAGAGAAGUGAGCCUGCCUAUUGGGUCACAAUAGCACAGAGGCGGGUGGCCAGCGUCGGGAACUGGUUCAGAACGGCUGCAGGGACAGCACCGUGCGUGCGUGUGUGUGUGGGGGGAGCCUUCAAAGUUGACGAGCUUCGCAGCGCUGGGAUGGACUGGCAUUGCGUGCUUGAGUUUGCGUCCCGUGAGAACCCUGCAGUUUAUGGCGGAGACAGGGAAGAGGGAAUGGGAUCGCGCCGGUGCAGGGAAAGGGCACGAAUCUGAGGUUACGGUAUCUGGGGGGAGGUGCCCAUGUGGGAGGGGAAGCCUAACUGCCUGUCUGGGUGCAGACCAGGAAUGGCAACACGUGAACGGUUAGUAGAGAGCUGUGUGCUGUUGGGCGCUCUCGGCAAGGGGCGUGGGAGGGGGCUGGGUUGGUGGGCGGCUGUCCGCACAGUGCCUAGCAGUGCGCACUCAGGCCCUUCGCAGACCGAAGAGGGCGCCAGGGCCUAUGCGCGCGUGGCUUGGCGUGAGGUUCUUGCUGUUGGCGUCAGGCGCCGCAAAAGGCCGGGUGGCUCUGCAGUGUCCUGCUCGCUUGGCGUGCGGCAAAGUGGUUCAGUCAGCGAGCGCAGUGUAUGCGUGUGUGCGUGUAUGCGUGUGCGUGCGUGUGUGUGUGUGUGUGUGUGUGUGUGUGUGUGUGUGUGUGGUUGCUGCGGAGAGGGCACGCAGCGACACGAGAUUGCCAUGCAGUGGUGCAAGCUGCUGGGGUCGGGUAAACGGGGUGGGAAAGUUGGUGAUGGUGGAAUGUUCUUGUGGCACGAACUGGCCUUGUGCGUAUUCGUUCGCCCCGUUCACUCUGGUCCACCAAUCCCACAGUCACUGCACUUAAAUGCCUAAAAGCCCCUGCUACGGUGCGGACAGGGUAAGGCCACGGCAGGUCUAAGUCCAUAUGCGCCCGUAGAGGUUCGAGUGCGUUAACCGGUCGCAAGGUGUUCACAACAUGUUGAUGUGUUGACAACAUGGCUGUGGUCAAGACGUGCCCUGCGAACUUCCCGUGUUUACAUGUUAAUAGAGCUCGCUGACAGCAGUCAUUUGACACCAUUAUGGAAGAAAACAGAGGGGAUUUAGGGGGUGUACGGCACGGUAUGGCACGGUCGGUCGUCGGUCCGGGGGGUCGGGGGGUUCUGCAGGGUGGGGCCUGGAACUAUUGUUCGUACACCCCCGCCUGGCUCCCCUGCUCCCCCUGACUAACCCCUGACCUCUGGCUUUCUUCGCUUUCCUUUCAGUGUCACCAAUUCUCAUGAGUGGGGGCGCACCCCGAAAUAAGCGGGUACGGUGCUUCAGUUCAGUGCUUGCCACGGCCUCAAGAGCCCCAAACCACGUGCACCGAAAUUCGCUUGCACUCCAAAUGCACUGGGAAGCCAGUAGCAGCGCGCUCUCAAAUGCUGGCAUGUGUCUCUCUCUGUCCAGAGCCUGAAUGCGCCAAGUCUGCUACGGUAGGAGGGUGCAACCCGUGGCCCGCCUUGAACCGCGCUUGCACACACAGCUGGAUUGCUGCUGGCAUGACCGUGUGAAAGAGGUACAGGCAGCCGGGCAAGUCCCAGCGGGCAGGUUGGUGUAGGCUAUGCCCCAUAACAGGCCCGUGCAUGCUGCCACGGACUUCUCGCCAGGAAUGUAAGUCCCGAUGCUAGACAAUUACUCCAGCAGCUGCAUGCCGCCAUCUUCAGUACUCGGUAUCCCUUGGUGCACGCAAGUCAAGGAUCAGUCCCAGGGCUCACCCUGGAGCAAUGCAGCCUGCGUGUGCACCUGCGAUGGAGCCGCGGCCUGCGGUAUUGGCUGCCCGAUUACGAAGCUGCGGGUGGGGGCAGUUGGCACGCAUUCCGCCACAGACCCCGCGAGCCUAGCCGCACCCAAGCUCUAAGCGGCCUAGACCGUGACCAAAGGCGAAGAAGCCGCGGCCAUCCCUGCGCUCAGAUUGCAUUGGUUACAAGAGGGACCUGCUGACGCAGUUCAUGGCUUCAUGCGCUCAGAGCCCGAGCCCUGAGCGGCAGCAAAAGCAGAAGCCACGCUACGUGUGCUAGCUACGACCAAUGCCUUGUACAGCUCUCCUCGGCUGCGCUCUUCGGCUGCGCUCCUCGGCUGCGCGGGACAGGGGACUCCGUGCAACCACUAUUGCUUAUAGCCUGCACCAGUCAUUGACGAGUGUUGCGGAACUAAUGCGUACGUAGACCAGAGCGGAAGGCGGAGUGGGCUUGCAGGCGGCACGAGAGUAGGCAGUCAGUAGCGCAAGUUGCGAAUUCCCAUGUUACCUCGUAACCGACGGUAAACGCUGUGGACGGUCGCGCCCAUGGCUGGCUGACGGAAGCUGGCUGCGGUAUUGGGAUGGCUGGGCUGGAUGACGCCGGCCGGGCUGGCGUUGGGACUACCAGAAAGGAUGCGCCCGAAACCAACCUGGAGAACACCAGCGCCACCGGUGCCCAGCACGACAUGUAAGGGAGGGAGGGAGGGACAGGAGGCGUGAUGCACUGCAGCGUAGAAGCUGCAGUCAUGGGCACAGCUUGUACCAUACAGCACGGUCAUCAAGGACACAAUGCCGGAACGGCAUCAUACGAGGCGGGGUUGGGAGCUGCAGGAAGUGGGCAGCGGGGCAGAAUCAAAGGUUUGCAUCGUUUAGAACAGGUGCGGAACACGCGCCAGCGCCAGCGCGGAGGACCCCAAGUAAGGCCUUUACUCACCAAUGUACGUUUUGUACACCCAAUCUCGCCCCCUAUCGACGUUGGCACUAGGUAGCUGGCUAUCAUUCUAUGCAGAUUAAGCAAAGGGGCACCGGGAACAACUGACUCAUGUUCGUCACUGCAGGUUACUGCAAAUGCUGUCUCCACCUUUGCUGCACGGUUCCGUUUCGUCACGUUUGCUGGUGUUGCUACCCGCCGUUCUUUAGUGUGUAACUGAUCUGCGAACCGAGUCCCCUUCAGCUGAUGAACCCCGCAGCAACUUUUCCAAAAGCGCUUCAAAUACGCCCAGCCCGCCCAUGGAGAAAGAGGCCAAAAUCAACGGAGGAUCGUUACAACCAACAAAAUUGCAAAACUCCUCCGCUUUUUACGUGUUGAAAAAGACUGAUCAGCACGAAACGGGGAGCUAAGCUACCGCUUCAGCACUUGAGAGCAGUAUCUUCCAUCCACCGCCGUUCGUCAGGGGGCAAGGCUCAGAUCAACGAGCGCCUCCAUUUACACGGAGCGCUUGUUGGCGGGCUGCCAGUCGCGGGCAGACUUGGGGCGCUGGACCAGGAAGCCCAUGAUCUGCACCUGCUUCUGGUUGUCGAAGGCCACCAGGCGCACGUAGGCAUCGGGGAAGGCCUUGGUGCAGGCGACGAUCUCGCGCAGCACCUGCAUGGGGUCGCGGCAGCCGAACAUGGGCAGCUUCCACAUGGUCCAGUAGCGGUUGUCGUAGUACAGCUGCGGGCGCACGGGAAAUGGGAGGGAGAAGAGGUUCAGUCACCAGCGCACAGAACCACCAAAGAUGGAAUUGGGCCCCUUGCUUUUCCGUGCUGAAGCACGAGCAGGGGUAUGCGUCAGUUCCCCGCGGUGAGAUAGGCGCUGUCCCGGUGCCAAGCUAACCAGUGCCACAGUGGACCCGUGUGCCAAAAGCUAACCCAGUGCCACAGUGGACCCGUCGGGCUCUCGCCAGACUUACGCAAG